rnacentral:rRNA from 1 species
UGCCAGCCGCCGCGGUAAUACGGAGGGGGCUAGCGUUGUUCGGAAUAACUGGGCGUAAAGCGCGCGUAGGCGGAUUAUCAAGUUGGGGGUGAAAGCCCGGGGCUCAACCUCGGAACGGCCUCCAAAACUGAUAAUCUAGAGUUCUGGAGAGGUAAGUGGAAUUCCUAGUGUAGAGGUGAAAUUCGUAGAUAUUGGGAAGAACACCAGUGGCGAAGGCGGCUUACUGGCCCGGUUCUGACGCUGAGGUACGAAAGCGUGGGGAGCGAACAGGAUUAGAUA